GAUGAACGCUGGCGGCGUGCCUAAUACAUGCAAGUCGAGCGAACGGACGAGAAGCUUGCUUCUCUGAUGUUAGCGGCGGACGGGUGAGUAACACGUGGAUAACCUACCUAUAAGACUGGGAUAACUUCGGGAAACCGGAGCUAACACCGGAUAAUAUUUUGAACCGCAUGGUUCAAAAGUGAAAGACGGUCUUGCUGUCACUUAUAGCUGGAUCUGCGCUGCAUUAGCUAGUUGGUAAGGUAACGGCUUACCAAGGCAACGAUGCAUAGCCGACCUGAGAGGGUGGUCGGCCACACUGGAGCUGGGACGCGGUCCAGACUCCUACGGGAGGCAGCAGUAUGGAAUCGUCCGCAGUGGGCGAGAGCCUGACGGAACAGCGCCGCGUGAGUGAUAGAGGUCUUCGGAGCGUAAAGCUCUGUUAUUAGGUGAGAACAUAUGUGUAAGUAACUGUGCACAGCUUGACGGUACCUGAUCAGAAAGCCACGGCUAACUACGUG
rnacentral:rRNA from 1 species